GGCGGGGGGUGCUGCGGGGAAGGCGGGGGACCCGGGACUUCCAAGUGUUCUGGCCAUGGAGGCAUGGUAUCCGUAACAUCCCCCAAAGGAGCUAAAGAAGAAAUCCACAAUUUACCAUGAGCAUUUCUCGUCUGAAGAUUGCCAAGCGAUUCCUCCAGGACAUUCCUCAAGAUCAAUUUCUGUUCAUCCACCUUGUCCUGGGAGGGACAUCAAUGGGUUUCCAUGUCCUUUGGCUUCUGGUUGAGUUCACUCAGUGGAGAACCCUGGCAAGAGGCAGGAAAAGGGGAGGAAGGUGAAAACCAUCCAUUUCUUGGAGAAGUGCCACGGUGGGGUUGCAAGUCCCAGGAUCAAGUUUUCGAUGUGUCUCUUUUUCCCGUAAAGUGGCUGAAAUCUGAAGCUGAAUCUGCAAGUGUCAUGGAGUCAUUGAAUCUCACAGUCUCAACUGAUAAAAGUUAUUAAAGGUCGUCUGGUUCAGCCUUCUA
rnacentral:lncRNA from 1 species